rnacentral:rRNA from 1 species
UACGUAGGGGGCUAGCGUUGUCCGGAUUUAUUGGGCGUAAAGAGCGUGUAGGCGGCCAGGUAGGUCUGCUGUGAAAACUCGAGGCUCAACCUCGAGACGUCGGCGGAAACCAUCUGGCUAGAGUCCGGAAGAGGAGAGUGGAAUUCCCCGGUGUAGCGGUGAAAUGCGCAGAUAUCGGGAAGAACACCUAUGGCGAAGGCAGCUCUCUGGGACGGUACUGACGCUGAGACGCGAAAAGCGUGGGGAGCGAACAGG